UACAGAGGGGCUAGCGUUAUUCGGAAUUAUUGGGCGUAAAGGGCGCGUAGGCGGCCAUGCGUGUCUUCCGUGAAAUCCCUCGGCUUAACUGAGGACGUGCGGAAGAAACUGCAAGGCUCGAGUCCGGGAGAGGGGGGGGUGGAAUUCCCAGUGUAGCGGUGAAAUGCGUAGAUAUUCGCAAGAACACCCGUGGCGAAGGCGGCUCUCGUGGGACGGUACUGACGCUGAGACGCGAAAGCGUGGGAGCGAACAGG
rnacentral:rRNA from 1 species